AAGUUACACCCCAGCAUGGCUAGUCUAAGGGUCAGCUUUGAAGUUGGCCCGGACAGCACGAAUCAUGGAGCAACCGUGGGGGUGGAUAUAGCAGGUCACCUGAUUGACGAAAGGCCAGCAUGUGACGUCCGCACCACCAUGCCCGUGCUGCCGCCGCUCGCCGCGCCGCUGCUCUGGCCACAUCCGCGUCUUCCUCCGCCACCGCCCACCGCCUUCUCCUCCUGGAACUGCCAAACGAAGAGUAGGCUCUUGCAACCGGGGCUCUUCGCCACCGGCGCCGACGUCCCCGGCCGCGGAGGCCCGCUCCCGGAACCAGAGCAGCGCGCCCCGCUCCUCCUCGCCGCUCUCCGCGCCACUCGCCUCAGGGACGAAGAAUCACGCCGCCCAGAUCCCCUUUUUAUUGAUCCAUAUGCUGCUGUGCUACUUUCACUUGAUGUGGCAGAUCAAACUUCGGAAUCUCUCGUCUCUCAUUUAAUGCCAUCUGCAGAGCAUUAUAGGCUAACUACUAGAUAUCUUGAUGACACAUUGCAACAUUUGAUAAGCAGGUCAGACAAUUUUAGACAGAUUGUUUUGUUGACAGAUGGAAUGGACACUCGCCCAUAUAGGCUUAGCUGGCCAAAGAUGUCUAUCAUGUAUGAUGUAUCACCUGGAAGAAUCUUCAGUACAGCAGCCCAGCAACUCCGAGGAGCAGGAGCAAAAAUACCGCGGAACUGUGUUCUCUUUCAUACUCCUUUAGAGUCUCCUGAUUUACAAGAGGGCCUGUGCAAAAAUGGCUUCAAUGGAAAUAGGCCAAGCUUGUGGGUAUUGCAGGGUUUACCUUUGCCCUCUUCUUCAAGCUUCAAAAGCCUUUUGCUCGUUAUAAGCAAUUUAGCAAUGAAGGGGGGUAUCUUCAUAGGAGAGGUGCCACAUUUUCCAGACUGGACGGCAGCAGCAGACAUGGUCUCCGAACAAGACAGGCUAGAAAACCUUUUCUUUACCCAGGGUUUCCGGGUUAGCUUUGUUCUCUAUGAAAAUGUUGCAAAGGAUUUCGGCUUAGAUCUAGCUCCUCAAAGGGAACAAUGUGGUAGAGUUCUUUUUGUUGCAGAACAGCUGCGGUUUUCAGAUGCACAGGUAAUAAAGCCAAUGGAAGACACUUAACUUCAAUUUUGCCUUUGAUAAUUUUGGAGAUUGGUAUGAGCUGGAAUAGUUUAUAAUGACAUCAUUUUUACAUGAGGAACCUGUCCAUCUCUUUUUCUCACAUCUGGACCUUGUUCCUAACCUCCUGAUUCCAAUCUCUUGAGUGACUGGACAGCCAAAGGAUUUGAUGGAGAGCUUCUGGACGCAUUUUGAAAGAACAGAGGAGGACGCUGAUGAAGAAGGAUUCGAGGAACUUUAGUUCCAUAUUGGAUGCAGUUGAGGUUUGAGAAUGGUUUUGACUUGCCGGGAAACGUGGAGAGUACCAAGUAAUCAUCGAUUUUCUGUUGUGUGUUGUUGGUUACAGAUAUCUCAUUUUUAACUCUGGCACCUUUUGAAAGAUCGGGUACUUUCCAAGACUUUUACACGUUGUACGACUGUUUUCAGUUGUUUCGUCUAGAGGAAUUUCGAUUACGGACAUACUUCCUUCGUAACUUAAUAUAAGACGUUUUUUUGA